CUGUCCUCUCCGUUACCAGUGGGUUCCAUGUAAUAUUGCAAGCCCUUUGCUUGAUAGAAAGCCGUACAUUGUCUUGUCAGAUCAUGCGCUUCUACAAAAUGGAGAGUCUUUACUGCCUCAUGCUUCUGAAAAUGUCAUUGAAAUGCAACAUGAUGACAACUGUGAUGAAGACACAAAUGAUAUUCUUAUAGAUGACAGUGAAGAAAUGGUUGAAGCUGAAUCUGAAAGUUCUGAUGAUGAAUCAGGUCCAGAGACUAGUGGUCAGACAUUGGAAAAUAAUGAUGUUGGUGAUAUUUUAAUUGGGUUAAAGGGAUCCCGUGUGAGAUAUAAGGAUGUACAACGAGCUUUUGGCCCCAGACAAAGGAGUUACUUGGAAUCUCAGUUACUCAGAUAUAAGAGGGUUGUAGGUGCAGAGAUGUCCGAG
rnacentral:misc_RNA from 1 species